rnacentral:rRNA from 1 species
ACGGGUGAGUAACGCGUGGGAACAUACCCAACUCUACGGAAUAACUCACGGAAACUUGUGCUAAUACCGUAUACGCCCUUCGGGGGAAAGAUUUAUCGGAGUUGGAUUGGCCCGCGUUGGAUUAGCUAGUUGGUGGGGUAAAGGCCUACCAAGGCGACGAUCCAUAGCUGGUCUGAGAGGAUGAUCAGCCACAUUGGGACUGAGACACGGCCCAAACUCCUACGGGAGGCAGCAGUGGGGAAUAUUGGACAAUGGGCGCAAGCCUGAUCCAGCCAUGCCGCGUGUGUGAUGAAGGCCUUAGGGUUGUAAAGCACUUUCACCGGAGAAGAUAAUGACGGUAUCCGGAGAAAAAGCCCCGGCUAACUUCGUGCCAGCAGCCGCGGUAAUACGAAGGGGGCUAGCGUUGUUCGGAAUUACUGGGCGUAAAGCGCACGUAGGCCGAUCGAUCAGUCAGGGGUGAAAUCCCAGAGCUCAACUCUGGAACUGCCUUUGAUACUGUCGGUCUAGGAAGGGCACAAUGUGAGUGGAAUUCCGAGUGUAGAGGUGAAAUUCGUAGA